AUUACGGCGGUUCUAACCGCCACUAAUUAGACGAAAUUUUAAAUUUU
rfam:Nicotiana attenuata strain TT scaffold02207, whole genome shotgun sequence.